rnacentral:tmRNA from 1 species
ACGCUGGCAAUCGGCAACGCGGGACCCUAUGUUGGCGGGGUCAGAGGCGGCUCGCCGCCCCCGACUAUGGCGAUAAACGCAGCGUGGCAUAAACGUGACGGACCCGGGGGCAGUGCCCGGCGUCUCCACCACUCCAACCUUCCUUGUCGGGAAGCGUGGCACGGGGACGAAACAGGCUCGACGUGCGUGGUAAAGACGCUGCUUUUGCCCGGCAUGGUACCGGCGUUAUCGGACCAAAUCACAAGUGCCAACGACAAUGUCCGCGAGGACAUGGCGCUCGCUGCCUAAUAGGUAAGCGCGGUUCGGGGGGCACCGGGCAACAGAAGCCCCCCACU